AGAGUUUGAUCAUGGCUCAGGAUGAACGCUGGCGGCGUGCUUAACACAUGCAAGUCGAACGGGGUUUAAGAAGGAAGCUUGCUUUCAUUUUAAACCUAGUGGCGGACGGGUGAGUAACGCGUGAGGAACCUGCCCUUCAGUGGGGAACAACAACUAGAAAUGGUUGCUAAUACCGCAUAAUGUCGGAGAGCCGCAUGACAUUCCGACCAAAGGAUUUAUUCGCUGAAGGAUGGCCUCGCGUCCGAUUAGGCAGUUGGUGAGGUAACGGCCCACCAAACCUACGAUCGGUAGCCGAACUGAGAGGUUGAACGGCCACAUUGGGACUGAGACACGGCCCAGACUCCUACGGGAGGCAGCAGUGGGGGAUAUUGCGCAAUGGGGGCAACCCUGACGCAGCAACGCCGCGUGAAGGAUGAAGGUUUUCGGAUUGUAAACUUCUUUUGUUAGGGACGAAAAAUGACGGUACCUAACGAAUAAGCUCCGGCUAACUACGUGCCAGCAGCCGCGGUAAUACGUAGGAUGCGAGCGUUGUCCGGAAUUACUGGGCGUAAAGAGCUCGUAGGCGGGAAGAUACGUUUGGGAGUAAAUCUCACAGCUUAACUGUGAGUCUUUCCUGAAUACGGUCUUUCUUGAGGUCAGCAGGGGAGAAUGGAAUUCCCAGUGUAGCGGUGAAAUGCGUAGAUAUUGGGAAGAAUACCAGUGGCGAAGGCGAUUCUCUGGGCUGUCUCUGACGCUGAGGAGCGAAAGCGUGGGUAGCGAACGGGAUUAGAUACCCUGGUAGUCCACACCGUAAACGAUGAGCACUAGGUGUCGGGGGAGCAAUCCUUCGGUGCCGCAGUUAACGCAUUAAGUGCUCCGCCUGGGGAGUACGUACGCAAGUAUGAAACUCAAAGGAAUUGACGGGGGCCCGCACAAGCGGAGGAACAUGUGGUUUAAUUCGAUGAUACGCGAGGAACCUUACCCGGGCUUGAACUGCAGGCGUACGAUACAGAGAUGUUGAGGCCCUUCGGGGCGCCUGUGGAGGUGCUGCAUGGUUGUCGUCAGCUCGUGCCGUGAGGUAUCGGCUUAAGUGCCAUAACGAGCGCAACCCCCAUCUUCAGUUGCCAUCGGGUCAGGCCGGGCACUCUGGAGAGACUGCCGGCGCAAGCUGUGAGGAAGGCGGGGAUGACGUCAAAUCAGCACGGCCCUUACGUCCGGGGCGACACACGUGUUACAAUGGCGGGGCUACAGCGGGGAGCCAGGCGGCGACGCCGAGCUGAUCCCGAAAACCCGUCUCAGUUCGGAUCGGAGUCUGCAACCCGACUCCGUGAAGCUGGAUUCGCUAGUAAUCGCGCAUCAGCCAUGGCGCGGUGAAUACGUUCCCGGGCCUUGUACACACCGCCCGUCAAGCCAUGAAAGUCUGGGGCGCCUGAAGUCCGUGACCGAGAGGAGCGGCCUAGGGCGAAACAGGUAAUUGGGGCUAAGUCGUAACAAGGUAGCCGUACCGGAAGGUGUGGCUGGAACACCUCCUU
rnacentral:rRNA from 1 species